rnacentral:rRNA from 1 species
UACGAAGGGGGCUAGCGUUGCUCGGCAUCACUGGGCGUAAAGGGCGCGUAGGCGGAUCUUUCAGUCAGGGGUGAAAGCCUGAGGCUCAACCUCAGAAUUGCCUUUGAUACUGAAGAUCUUGAGACCGGAAGAGGUAAGUGGAACUGCGAGUGUAGAGGUGAAAUUCGUAGAUAUUCGCAAGAACACCAGUGGCGAAGGCGGCUUACUGGUCCGGUUCUGACGCUGAGGCGCGAAAGCGUGGGUAGCAAACAGG